rnacentral:lncRNA from 12 species
CCUCGGACUCAGAACAUGAUCCUCGCGGAUUGCUCCUGUUAGAACUACCUUCUGACUAAACUAGACUUUUGGGUUGCCUUGUUUUUCUUCAUCACAGUCAACACUGCGCUGCUGCGAACUGUAUAGACGCAUCGUUCCACUAACCUGUCUGAGGUGCUCUCAGGGAUCACCUGCUUCAAAGCGCGCAAAUGCGCACAAAUGCCUUUGGAUUUGGAGCGGUCGUUGUAAAUGUGGUCCGUGGGUGGUGGGUGCUGCCUCCAGCUUGAGGUGUCGUUUUCGUGAAGUGAGAGCGGAUCUUAUCCAGUACAUCCAUAGUGAUGACUCAGAAGUUAAGUCCAUGCUUAAAAAUAUCUUUGUGAGUAGUUUUAUGAAAGUCAACCACAUCCUGUGUUCAAUUCACAUAGCGGUGUAAAGAAAGAACUACACUCACUUUGUAAUAAAAGUGCUGCCUCUUGAAAUUAUAAAAGCUAUAUUUAGGGUUCUGUGUCUGUAACAUUGUAAUGUAAAGUGACCAGAUUUCUGAAAUGGACAUUUCCUAGUUUAAAGGUAAAAAAAACAAAAACAUUGAAAUUUCACUGGUUGUUUUAUCUAUGAAUUAAAAAACAAUGGGGACAAUACAUUUAUCACAAUAAUUGCUAUUCAUUAUUAUUAGAAUUAAUGAUUAUAAGGAUUAUAUAUUAUAUUCAUACUGUAUAACGAUGAAGCCCUGAGCGUCUCCAAAAAUCACACUAAAAAAAAAAAAAAAAUAGUAGACUUUACAAAAACACAUUACAAAAAUAAAACAAAAUGUAUUUAACAUAUAUUUUCAGACAUUUUGCUUAUCACAAACUGUGAAUAUACUGUUUAAGGUAAUUGUUUUUAAUACAGCAAGUGAGGGAAAGCGCACACACACCUGUAGAAGUGCAAGAUGAAGGAAAAAAUUCAAACCUAAUUGAAAGAGAACAACGCACACUCACUUAAGCCUAUGAAAAUUAUAAAAAUUAUAAAAUGUUUUCAAAAUGUUGUGUGCUAUUGAAAAUGGAUCAAUAAAAAUGAGAAAUAAAUGCAACGACCAAUAAAAAAUGUAAAUUAAACAUAAAAUAAAAUAAAUGGAAAUUAAAAAUAUUUUUUAUGUGCAUUUUACCAAUUUAAUUGUUUGCUAGUUUAAUUAAGUUGAACUACUUUAGUUAAAUUUAAUAUUUAUUAAUAUAUCAGAGGUAACAACUCUGUUACUUGAGUGAAAGUGGUGAGCGUGAUUUCACCAAAUACAACAUGUUCCUGGAUCAACAUUCCAAUCAACCAAUCAGAAUUGAGAUAUAACUUUUCAGGAAAUACCUGUUUUAGGCUUACAAUCAGGGUUAGGUGCUCUGUUACCCUUGUUAAUCCGCUAUCAUUUCACACUGAUUUUAGGAAUAAAUUAUGGGUAGGGUUAGGUUUAGGGGUAGGGAUUGGGCUAAGUCUGUAUUUUUGGACUAAAAUGUUGGUCCAGGAACAUGUCUCACUUGGCAAAAUCACGGCAACCAGUGAAAGUACAGAUAUUGCUGGUCAAAUAUUACUCCAUUGCAAGUGAAAGUUGUAAAGACAGAUUUUUACUCAAGCAAUAGUACUUGCUUUUAAAAGUACUUAAGUACCAAAAGUUAAUUUCCUUUUUUAUGUCAAUGCACUGAGUAACCAGUGUAGCUCUCAGCGCCCUCUGUUGGAGAAAAUAAACACUACACGAUUGCUCAGGUGCACACUGCACAGGCAGUUAGUCUGGCAUUUUUGCAGUGCAUUUGAUUUAACAGCACUGUCUUUCACCAAUUAAUUAACCCCUUUAACUAUACACAAUUUAAGUAAUAUUACAAGCUUAAUAGACCACAAAAGGUUAGUUCACCCAAAAAAUAAAGAGGCAUGUUUGCAAAUACUUUUGCCUUAUCCUUCAGUGUGUAAAUACAUAGUAAAUGCUUUAUCAAACUACCGUGAAUGACACACUUCUGACACAAGCUCAUAUGGAAACAAGUUCAGUUUUUUAUUGCCAGGAUCCCUCAGGUUCACAUAUACAAUACUUGAUCAAUCCCUAUUAGUUAAAAGAAACAAGUACACCUCCAGUGAUCACCAUACUAUUUCUUUCUAUGUUUUGACUGGAUGGCAUAUUCCUGUUGGUCCAAUCCGGAUUUCAUAGACCAGUGUGCAUAGUGUGUGGGUUUGUGGUUUGCCAUACACCUACAUUUUUAGUUUCAUGUGACAAUACUUAUUUAUAAAAGUGCCUGCUAGGGAUUCUGUUUUGGGAGCUGAUCAUUUAGGGGAUUGGUAGAUAUAAUUUUAUUUAUUGGCAGAUUUGGCAAUUUAGAACAGUCAUUGACAUAACUACUAAUAGAGACUAAGCUUAACCUGUAAAUCUGUCCUCGGGCAUGACAUGACAUAAAAAAGAGCAACACAUCUAAAAAUGAAAGCUUACAAUGUGGAAAAUGCACAUUCUUAGGACUGGUUUGGAUUGUUUGUAAGAGGCUUUUAAAUGCACAGUCUGCAAAUGCCACAGUUGUAGUGGUACGACGCGAAAUUUGGCACUACAACAAUCCACUCGUGUUUUUCCAAGUUCAUCUGCAUGGCUUGAUUUCCUGGAGUGACUGUGGCUUUGUUCCAGUGACAGCAGACCGUACUUUAAAAGACCUUACAGAUGUUUCAGUGCAUAAUAUAAGCAUCACAUUUAAAACAAAAGGUGCAACAUUUUGUAAACGACAGUAAAAUUAAAUUGUAACACAAAUCAAACAGUAAAGCAUUACCAUAUGAUGAAAAGCAUUUAUGGCUUCAUAAAACACCAUACCAUAAAAAAGACAAGGAUUAGUUUGACAUUUACAAACCUGUCCCUUUAAAAUACAUUUAAUAACAAGCACGU